rnacentral:misc_RNA from 1 species
GAUGAAGAACGUAGCGAAAUGCGAUAAGUAAUGUGAAUUGCAGAAUUCAGUGAAUCAUCGAAUCUUUGAACGCACAUUGCGCCCGCCAGUAUUCUGGCGGGCAUGCCUGUUCGAGCGUCAUUUCAACCCUCAGGGCCCUUUUGGACCUGGCGUUGGGGCUCGGCCGCUACCCUGCGGCCGUCCCCGAAAGAUAGUGGCGGUCUCGCUGUAGCCUCCUCUGCGUAGUAGUUACAUCUCGCACUGGAACGCGGCGCGGCCAUGCCGUUAAACACCCCACUUCUCAAGGUUGACCUCGGAUCAGGUAGGAAUACCCGCUGAACUUAAGCAUAUCAAUAAGAGGAGGA